AUGGUGAGAAGACGAGGCUUCUUCAAGGCGAGGGGACUCUGCACCUGCUCCUCGUCCUCCGACAUCAUUUUGUCCUUGGCACACCACCGUCACAUGAACUCUGACACCAUCGGGAUGUUCAGGUCGAAGGCCCGAGCGGCGAAGCUCUCAUUCCUAGUGCUCCCCACCUCAGACUCGGCCUGUCGAGAGCCUGUCUAG
rnacentral:rRNA from 1 species